GCCUCCACAUUGACUCUGUACCGGUACCCCCUGUAUAUAGCCUCCACAUUGACUCUGUACCGGUACCCCCUGUAUCUAGCCUCCACAUUGACUCUGUACCGGUACCCCCUGUAUAUAGCCUCCAAAUUGACUCUCUCUCAGACUUGAAGUGGAUUUUCCAUCAAAUCGCUAUUAGUUACAUGUCUGCCUGUAGUGAACUACGAGGUGAAUACGCUUCUAUCACGCCCACGGCGUCAUUGCGUCAAAUGUUACGCAGCAUCAUCUGGAGACGUGUCUGCAACAAGAGUUUCAACGUUCACCUUCUGCUACCAUUUCUGCCAAGCCGUCUACAGCGUACAGUUCGACUCACACGAUGUCUCUGCAACGCAAUGCUGCGCAUCGGGAAACGAAUGGGGUGUCCAUUUGUCAUGCAGACAGCUUGGUCCCCCCACCCCCCCUUUCCAUCGAGUCCGUCUAAGGCUGUGUAAACCACACAGCACCACACGCAGAGACAGAGUGAAAGCGUCACCGUUACACUUGUAUUAGGCUAUGUAGGGGAUAGGUCACGCAUUGGCAGACAGCCCUCCCUUUUCCGACUGUACCUACACUGCUGUGGGAAGGAGUCUGUUUCAUGCCUGCUACACAGUCUCACCCCCAGCUGCCUAGCAGUACCAAUAAUGUUUUUUCACAUGUGAAUUCUAAACUCUCCUUGUUGUGUCUGCCAGGUGUUAGAUUCUCACACACACACACACAGUGUUUAUAUGUCUGCCAGGUGUUAGAUUCUCACACACACACAGUGUUUAUAUGUCUGCCAGGUGUUAGAUUCUCACACACACACAGUGUUUAUAUGUCUGCCAGGUGUUAGAUUCUCACACACACACAGUGUUUACAUCAUGUGUUUAAAUAUAUAUUUUUAAAUGUAUUGAGGAACCGACUGCUCCACUGUCUCAAUCCACCAGGUACCAAGAUGGUCGUUGACUGUGGAUGUUCCCUUCUGUCACUGUCAGCUGUGACAUUAUCCUACAUGAUAGUGAUUAAUACCCCCUGUGUUGUAGUCCCAAGUCCAGGGAGCUACCGUGUCACUCGGUAAUUGGAAAGGUCAUUUCUUUUCAUGCUGAGCGACACCCAGUCACCCACUUUCUGUCACCUGCUUAUGCCUGCUGUAGAGAUGAGGACUUCUGAAACUAGGUCCAGAGUGAUACUGCCGAAAGACCCUCC
ensembl:lncRNA